UACGUAGGGGGCUAGCGUUGUCCGGAUUUAUUGGGCGUAAAGAGCGUGUAGGCGGCCAUGUAGGUCCGGUGUGAAAACUCGAGGCUUAACCUCGAGAUGUCAUCGGAAACCAUUUGGCUAGAGUCCGGAAGAGGAGAGUGGAAUUCCUGGUGUAGCGGUGAAAUGCGCAGAUAUCAGGAAGAACACCUAUGGCGAAGGCAGCUCGCUGGGACGGUACUGACGCUGAGGCGCGAAAGCGUGGGGAGCGAACAGG
rnacentral:rRNA from 1 species